UCGAGGAUCUUCGGCAAUGGGCGAAAGCCUGACCGAGCGACGCCGCGUGUGCGAUGAAGGCCUUCUGGUUGUAAAGCACUGUCGAAGGGGAGCAAGCCGAAAGGUUGAGAGUACCCUUGGAGGAAGCACGGGCUAAGUUCGUGCCAGCAGCCGCGGUAAGACGAACCGUGCGAACGUUAUUCGGAAUCACUGGGCUUAAAGGGUGCGUAGGCGGGUAUAUAAGUCGAGGGUGAAAGCCUCUAGCUCAACUAGAGAAGUGCCCUCGAAACUAUAUGUCUUGAGAGAGAUAGGGGCAUACGGAACUUCCGGUGGAGCGGUGAAAUGCGUAGAUAUCGGAAGGAACGCCGGUGGCGAAAGCGGUAUGCUGGAUCUUUUCUGACGCUGAGGCACGAAAGCUAGGGUAGCGAACG
rnacentral:rRNA from 1 species